UGUUGGUUCCCGAGCCAAGAGCUCCAA
rnacentral:piRNA from 1 species